CAAACAAGUUGGUGAAAAUAUAAUUUAUUCAUUCAUUUUUUUCAUUAGGGGCUGUUAACAGGAUAACAUUUGCCAAGCAAGAAGAAAAAUUUGUUCCUAAACCUAAUUUCCAGUGAAUUUUUUUUCUAUCCUCUUUUGAUAGACGAGCAGCCUCUGAAGUAGAGAUUAUAUAAAAAUCCAUUUGCAGUGACAUCUACCUAAACAUUAUAGACUCUUCUGGGGGUUCAUGCUCAUAAGUGGGUGAUAAGGCUUAAGCUACAACAUACCCAAAUCCACAUACCGGACUGGAAGGACUUCCUGAGAAAACCAAGCAGUGUACAUGUGCCCGCUGAGGCUGCUUAUUUCAGGUGGUAUUUAAUGCCACAAAAGUAGGCAGGAAGGGUCUAGAAGCUCCCUGGGAACUCCUGCAGAGUAGGCUGGGCCUGUGCUUAUAAAUGAAACACAGGCUUGGGAGCCUGGUGACACCAGCUUGACUCUCACCUCUGCCAACGCUAGCUGUGUUUCCUUGGGCAAACCCAACUUCUUAUCAUUCGGCAGCACCCAUUCAUGGUCAACACAUCUCUGUUCAGGGAGACUUCUAUACAAUCAGUAUCUCAACGUGAAGACUGCCGACCACCCGCUUAACCCCGGGACACCUGUUAACACGCAGAUUCCACAGCUUUACCCCACUUCUACUGCGUCUCGUCCUCUGGGAACCAGGCCUCCAGAUCACGUCAGGCCCGCGCACUCAGCCUGUACCCUAUACCUCGGGCUGGUGUGGGGACACGGAGCAGCUGCAGAGGAACCUCCUAGACUAUGCUGCUAUGGCUCUGCGGGCAGCUUUGCCUCAAACCUCAAAAUCAUGAUCCUCUUGGAGGUAGCAUCCCCAGGGACAGCGGCUUCUGCUCCGGGCUGUGUGAGCGCUGGGGGACCUUGGUUACGGACUCGCACUGGGUGUUUCUGGGGAGUUGUCAAUCAAGAUUCCUGGCCCCAGCCCUCAGCAUCAAGGAUAGGAAUAAGAAGGAUGCGUGAGGCCCAAGCAGAGAAAAUCCACUGAAAUUUGGAUGCUGGGAGGAAGAAGUUUUGUGAUAUUUUUAUCUUUUCUGUUGAUAUUGUUGGACAUCUGAAGCUGUGGCAGGAAUAGCUUUCUGUAGAAUGAAACCAAGCAGAGAGAAGAAAAGUCAAGAGACCAAUGAAGAGAGGUCUAUGGCAGUGGUUCUCAGCCUUGGUUGCACGUUGGAGUCACUGGGGAGCUUUAAAAACAACUGACGUCUGGGUCCAGCCCCAGUAAUUUUUAUUUGAUUGGUCUGAGUUGCAGCCUGGGCCUUGGGACUUUCAAAGCCCCCUGGAGGAUUCUUACGGGCAGCCAAGGAUGUGAACUGCUUGUCUAGCGACACCACAUCAGGUCCCCGAGGCCUUGGUUCCAGCAGCUCUUCCUAAUUCUGUAACCCAUCUUGGUGCCCUCAGUGUCAAUAACUUUCCUUUUUUUGCUUAAUUAAGAUUGAAUUGAAUUUCUGUCAUUUGCGGCCAAAAGAAAUCUAACCAAAAAACAAAGACUGUAAUCAUAGCUAACAUCUAUUGAGCAUCAGGGAUGUGCUGGGGAGUUUGAAGUGCUUUACUUAUAUGAUCUCAUUUAAUUUAAUCUUUACAACAUCCUCAGAGGUAGAAAACUAUUACUGUCUCCAUUUUACAGAUGAGCAAAUGAGACAUCAAAAGAUAAAGUGACUUGCCAAAAUUUACACAGCCUGUAAGCGCAGAGCUGGAAUGUGAACCAAGAAACUUCCUUAACCAUCUCACCUGAAG
rnacentral:lncRNA from 1 species